UACGUAGGGUGCAAGCGUUGUCCGGAAUUAUUGGGCGUAAAGAGCUCGUAGGCGGUCUGUUGCGUCGGCUGUGAAAACCCGGGGCUCAACCCCGGGCCUGCAGCCGAUACGGGCAGACUAGAGUUCGGCAGGGGAGACUGGAAUUCCUGGUGUAGCGGUGAAAUGCGUAGAUAUCAUUUGGAACGCCAAUGGUGAAAACAGGUAGCUGGGAGUGUGCUGACGCUGAGGAGCGAAAGCUAGGGGAGCAAACGGG
rnacentral:rRNA from 1 species